rnacentral:tRNA from 2 species
GUUCCUGUGGUUGAAGUUUGACAACAAUGGUUUUUCAGACCAUGGAUCUUGGAGAGAGGCCAAGCAGGAAUA